rnacentral:rRNA from 1 species
GUGGGGAAUCUUAGACAAUGGGCGCAAGCCUGAUCUAGCCAUGCCGCGUGAGCGAUGAAGGCCUUAGGGUUGUAAAGCUCUUUCGUGGGGGAAGAUAAUGACUGUACCCCAAGAAGAAGCCCCGGCUAACUCCGUGCCAGCAGCCGCGGUAAUACGGAGGGGGCUAGCGUUGUUCGGAAUUACUGGGCGUAAAGCGCACGUAGGCGGACUGGAAAGUCAGGGGUGAAAUCCCGGGGCUCAACCCCGGAACUGCCUUUGAAACUCCCAGGCUUGAGUUCGAGAGAGGUGAGUGGAAUUCCGAGUGUAGAGGUGAAAUUCGUAGAUAUUCGGAGGAACACCAGUGGCGAAGGCGGCUCACUGGCUCGAUACUGACGCUGAGGUGCGAAAGCGUGGGGAGCAAACAGGAUUAGAUACCCGAGUAGUCC